UCGGUGUGUGAAAACUAUGAUUUAUGUU
rnacentral:sRNA from 1 species